AGGCAUAAUAACACAUAUACCGUAUAUACUCGAGUAUAAGCCGACCCGAAUAUAAGCCGAGGCCCCUAAUUUUACCCCCAAAAACUGGGAAAACGUAUUGACUCGAGUAUAAGACUAGGGUGGGAAAUGCAGCAGCUACUGGUAAAUUUCUAAAUAAAAUUAGAUCCUAAAAAAAUUAUAUUAAUUGAAUAUUUAUUUACAGUGUGUG